UACGGAGGAUCCGAGCGUUAUCCGGAUUUAUUGGGUUUAAAGGGUGCGUAGGCGGUUUGAUAAGUUAGAGGUGAAAUGUCGGGGCUCAACCCCGAAACUGCCUCUAAUACUGUUGGACUAGAGAAUAGUUGCGGUGGGCGGAAUGUAUGGUGUAGCGGUGAAAUGCUUAGAGAUCAUACAGAACACCGAUUGCGAAGGCAGCUUACCAAACUAUAUCUGACGUUGAGGCACGAAAGCGUGGGUAGCAAACAGG
rnacentral:rRNA from 1 species